CACAAAAUUCUUAAAUUCUGAUGUAGUCCAGUUUAUCUAUUCUUUAUUUUUAUUGCCUGCACUUUUGGUGUCCUAUUCAAGAAAUUAUUACCAGAUCCAGUGUCUAAAAGUUUUCCUUUGUUUUCUUCUGACAGUUUUAUAAUUUUAACUCUUAAGUUUAGGUCUUUCAUCUAUUUUGAGUCAACUUUUGUACAUGGUGAAAGGUAAAGGUCCAACUUCAAUCCAGGUUUCCUGGCAUCAUUUGUUUAAGACUGUCCUUUCCCCUCUUGAGUGGUCUUGGUACUCUUGUCAAAAAUACGUGAGGGUUUAUUUCUGGAAUCUCUAUUUCAUUCCCUUGGUCUGUUCAUCUGUCUUUAUGCCAAUACCACACUGCUUUGAUUACCAGAACUUAGUAACAAGUUUUGAAGUCAGGAAGUGUGAGACCUAUAACUUUGUUCCUCUUUUUAAAGAUUCUUUAACCUAUUCUCAAUCCCUUGAGACUCUGUGUGAAUUUUAGUAUGGAUUUUUAUUUCUGACAAAAGAUCCAUUGGGAUUUUAAUAAGGAUUGCAUUAAAUGUACAGAUUUCUUUGGCUAGUAUUGUCAUCUUAACAAUAUUAAGUCUUCCAUUCCAUGAACACAAGAUGUCUUUCCAUUUAUUCCUGUCUUUUGCACUUGUUUUUGAAGCCCCAUUAUAAGCCCAGCACCAUCUUUGAUCAGGGGAAAAGGAAAAAUUUAAUAUUUUUCCUAGAGCAGCUUACAGUCCAGUUUGAGUGAGACAAAUUAUAGAAUAAGUCAAGACCACCAGAAUCAGAGGGGGAAACAAACUGUAAGAGGCUCUUAACUAUAGGAAACAAACUGAAGGUUACUAGAGGGGAGGUGGGUGGGGAGAUGAGGUAACUUUGGUGAUGGGCAUUAAGGGGGGCAUGUGAUUUGAUCAGCAUUGGGGGUUAUAUGCAACUGACCAAUCACUGACACUACCUCUGAAAUUAAUAAUAUGCUGUAUGUUAACUAAUUAAAUUUAAAUA